ensembl:snoRNA
AUUCUAGUAAAUGAUGUUGAACUUUUUUCCCCGUCAUAUCGAUCAUGGUGAAUAGCAAAAUAUUAAAGCCAAAAUAUUCUGACACUAGAGC